rnacentral:rRNA from 1 species
GACGAACGCUGGCGGCGUGCUUAACACAUGCAAGUCGAACGGAAAGGCCCUGCUUUUGUGGGGUGCUCGAGUGGCGAACGGGUGAGUAACACGUGAGUAACCUGCCCUUGACUUUGGGAUAACUUCAGGAAACUGGGGCUAAUACCGGAUAGGAGCUCCUGCUGCAUGGUGGGGGUUGGAAAGUUUCGGCGGUUGGGGAUGGACUCGCGGCUUAUCAGCUUGUUGGUGGGGUAGUGGCUUACCAAGGCUUUGACGGGUAGCCGGCCUGAGAGGGUGACCGGCCACAUUGGGCCUGCGAUACGGCGCAGACUCCUACGGGCGGCAGCAGUGGGGAAUAUUGCGCAAUGGGCGGAAGCCUGAUGCAGCAACGCCGCGUGCGGGAUGACGGCCUUCGGGUUGUAAACCGCUUUCGCCUGUGACGAAGCGUGAGUGACGGUAAUGGGUAAAGAAGCACCGGCUAACUACGUG